GACGAACGCUGGCGGCGUGCUUAACACAUGCAAGUCGAACGGAAAGGCCCUGCUUUUGUGGGGUGCUCGAGUGGCGAAUGGGUGAGUAACACGUGAGUAACCUGCCCUUGACUUUGGGAUAACUUCAGGAAACUGGGGCUAAUACCGGAUAGGAGCUCCUGCUGCAUGGUGGGGGUUGGAAAGUUUCGGCGGUUGGGGAUGGACUCGCGGCUUAUCAGCUUGUUGGUGGGGUAGUGGCUUACCAAGGCUUUGACGGGUAGCCGGCCUGAGAGGGUGACCGGCCACAUUGGGACUGAGAUACGGCCCAGACUCCUACGGGAGGCAGCAGUGGGGAAUAUUGCACAAUGGGCGGAAGCCUGGUGCAGCAACGCCGCGUGCGGGAUGACGGCCUUCGGGUUGUAAACCGCUUUCGCCUGUGACGAAGCGUGAGUGACGGUAAUGGGUAAAGAAGCACCGGCUAACUACGUG
rnacentral:rRNA from 1 species